GAUGAACGCUGACAGAAUGCUUAACACAUGCAAGUCGACUGGAAUUCUUCUUCGGAAGUUAGUACGGUGGCGGACGGGUGAGUAACGCGUAAAGAAUUUGCCCUUCAGGCUGGGACAGCUAACCAAAAGGUUAGCUAAUACCGGAUAUUAUGAGACCUUGGUAUCAAGGACUUAUGAAAGCUAUAUGCGCUGGAGGAGAACUUUGCGUCCCAUUAGGUAGUUGGUAGGGUAAUGGCCUACCAAGCCGACGAUGGGUAGCCGGCCUGAGAGGGUGAACGGCCACAAGGGGACUGAGACACGGCCCUUACUCCUACGGGAGGCAGCAGUGGGGAAUAUUGGACAAUGGACCAAAAGUCUGAUCCAGCAAUUCUGUGUGCACGAUGAAGGUCUUCGGAUUGUAAAGUGCUUUCAGGUGGGAAGAAGAAAGUGACGGUACCACCAGAAGAAGCGACGGCUAAAUACGUGCCAGCAGCCGCCGCGGUAAG
rnacentral:rRNA from 1 species